rnacentral:rRNA from 1 species
GAUGAACGCUGGCGGCGUGCCUAAUACAUGCAAGUCGAGCGAACGGACGAGAAGCUUGCUUCUCUGAUGUUAGCGGCGGACGGGUGAGUAACACGUGGAUAACCUACCUAUAAGACUGGGAUAACUUCGGGAAACCGGCGCUAAUACCGGAUAAUAUUUUGAACCGCAUGGUUCAAAAGUGAAAGACGGUCUUGCUGUCACUUAUCGAUGGAUCCGCGCUGCAUUAGCUAGUUGGUAAGGUAACGGCUUACCACGGCAACGAUGCAUAGCCGAGCUGAGAGGGUGAUCGGCCACACUGGAACGGAGACACGGACCAGACUCCUACGGGAGGCAGCAGUAGGGAAUCUUCCGCAAUGGGCGAAAGCCUGACGGAGCAACGCCGCGUGAGUGAUGAAGGUCUUCGGAUCGUAAAACUCUGUUAUUAGGGAAGAACAUAUGUGUAAGUAACUGUGCACAUCUUGACGGUACCUAAUCAGAAAGCCACGGCUAACUACGUG